AGUGAUGACCUAGUUGUCUUGAGGGCCAGGCUGAGGACAAGUCUGAUGGGUUACGCUUCAGAAUUUCAUGUGCUCAUGGGGAGAAGAGUCCCUGACUUCAGAACCCCUGAGGUCCUGAAAGUGAUUUGUAUUAGAGCAUCCAUGCAGUUGACUUUCUGUCAGUCAACCGGAUGCUGGAUUGAUCUAGGAAACAACUUCUUUAUACAACAAUGGCAGAGAAGUUCUACAAUAUGGAGUCCUGUGAUAAAAGGAGGUCCAGCUGACUCACCCACCAGCUGGUGACCAGCAGAGCAGAGGAGGAGCAAGCACAGGACCUUCACCUUUCCCGCCAGGUGUGGGCGCCAGUCAAGGGGCAAGGAUAAGCUGGGGACUCUGUGCUGAUGGAAUGACUGAUUCCUUCUAUUCUUGGGCAUCAGUGGACACCCAACACAGCCUCAUUCAAGGAGAACUGGUCACUUUCAACUCCUUUCUUCAGCAGGGGAUCCUUCCUUCCUUCCCCACUGGGUCAUGUGAGGACAGAAGGAUUGUGCUAUAUCAAUUUUGGGGGAUUCCACAUUCUCAUUUAGAGGAAAAAGAAUCUGCUUCCAGUUUUACCCCUGGAAAUAGAAAAUUAAUCUUUGAUCAGACCAAUCCCAUUUAAGAA
rnacentral:lncRNA from 1 species